rnacentral:rRNA from 1 species
UACAGAGGUCUCAAGCGUUGUUCGGAUUCAUUGGGCGUAAAGGGUGCGUAGGCGGCGCGGUAAGUCGGGUGUGAAAUCUCGGAGCUUAACUCCGAAACUGCAUUCGAUACUGCCGUGCUUGAGGACUGGAGAGGAGACUGGAAUUUACGGUGUAGCGGUGAAAUGCGUAGAUAUCGUAAGGAAGACCAGUGGCGAAGGCGGCAUCCUGGACCGACACUGACGCUGAGGAGCGAAAGCCAGGGGAGCAAACGGG